AUAAGAGAAAGUAUAUGAAGGCUCUCUAAUUCAUUGGUCUAGUAGAUUCAAAAGUCCUAGAUUUUUUAGAUAAUUUACCUUUAUAUUUGAUUAGUUUACUGCUUUAGUAGUUUAUAAUUCAACAAACAAUCUCUCAUCUUUUUCUUUAAAGCUCGUCUGAGCAAAUAUUUGAAUACAGUUUAAAACUCAAUUCCUUGUG
rnacentral:lncRNA from 1 species